UGAAGGUAGAUGAACCCGGUGAAUGGUAGAACCGGGGUAAGCGUGUAGGAGGAGGACCAGGUAAAUCCGGGCCUCAUAAACUCUGAGACGUGAUACCGAGCCGCUUCAGGCGAAGUCAUUGAUCCUAUGCUGCCUAGAAAAGCCCAGCAGCGAGUUGACAUGGUGCCCGUACCCCAAACCAACACAGGUGGACAGGUAGAGCAUACCAAGGCGAGUGGGAUAACUAUGGUUAAGGAACUCGGCAAAUUGCCUCCGUAACUUCGGGAGAAGGAGGACCCCAGUAGCGUGAUGAGACUUGCUCUCUGAGCGUGAAGGGGUGGCACAAAAUUGAGGGAAGCGACUGUUUACCAAAAACACAGCAGCGUGCUAAGCCGUAAGGCGCUGUAUACGCUGUGACUCCUGCCCGGUGCUGGAAGGUUACGGGGAUGGGUUAGUCCUUCGGGACGAAGCUCUGAACCUAAGCCCCAGUAAACGGCGGCCGUAACUAUAACGGUCCUAAGGUAGCGAAAUUCCUUGUCGGGUAAGUUCCGACCUGCACGAAUGGAGUAACGACUUCCCUACUGUCUCAACCAUAGACCCAGCGAAAUUGAAGUACGAGUAAAGAUGCUCGUUAGCUGCAGAAGGACGGAAAGACCCCGUGGACCUUUACUAUAACUUGAUGUUGUGUUUUGUCAUAUGUUGUGUAGGAUAGGUGGGAGACUUGGAAGCAUGGACGCUAGUCUGUGUGGAGUCAUCGUUGAAAUACCACCCUGCAUAUGGUGAGGCUCUAACCUAGACCCGUUAUCCGGGUUGGGGACAGCGUCAGGCGGGUAGUUUAACUGGGGCGGUUGCCUCCUAAAGAGUAACGGAGGCGCCCAAAGGUUCCCUCAGCCUGGUUGGCAAUCAGGCGUUGAGUGCAAUGGCAAAAGGGAGCUUGACUGCGAGACCUACAAGUCGAGCAGGAGCGAAAGCUGGGCAUAGUGAUCCGGCGGUUGCGUGUGGAAGCGCCGUCGCUCAACGGAUAAAAGGUACCCCGGGGAUAACAGGCUAAUCUUGCCCAAGCGUCCAUAGCGACGGCAAGGUUUGGCACCUCGAUGUCGGCUCAUCGCAUCCUGGGGCUGAAGCAGGUCCCAAGGGUUGGGCUGUUCGCCCAUUAAAGCGGUACGCGAGCUGGGUUCAGAACGUCGUGAGACAGUUCGGUCCCUAUCCUCUGCAGCCGGAGGUGAAUUGAGGAAAGCUGUCCCUAGUACGAGAGGACCGGGACGGACGCAGCUCUCGUGUGCCAGUUGUCCUGCCAAGGGCAUGGCUGGUUAGCGACCUGCGGAAAGGAUAACCGCUGAAAGCAUCUAAGCGGGAAGCCUCUUCCAAGAUGAAUUCACCCACAGGGUUAACCUGGUAAGGCCCGUGGUAGACCACCACGUUGAUAGGCCGGAAGUGUAAGCGUGGCAACACGUUCAGCUGACCGGUACUAAUCGGCCGAGGGCUUGAGUUC
rnacentral:rRNA from 1 species